AUACGGCUGCACAGAACUCUCAGUUUAGCUUUGCUCUCUUAACAGAGAAAGCGAAUUAAGCAACAACGUUAAUAGCUAUAGACGAUCAAAGGACCCCUACCUGAACUGCUGCAGAGGAAAUGAGUUUGAUGCCUGAGGGUGUGCUCCUCUCGAUGAUAAUGGUACAAAGAUUUGGAUGCUUGCUUCUGUCAUCUUCUAAGCUCAAUAAUUAAUAAGAGAUGCAGUGUUUUUUGUUGUUAUUUACUCUUUUUUUGUCAAUCUUGAGUCAACCAACAUUCAUUAAUUGCUCGA